AGUGAACGCUGGCGGUAGGCCUAACACAUGCAAGUCGAACGGCAGCACAGUAAGCGCUUGCUCUUACGGGUGGCGAGUGGCGGACGGGUGAGGAAUACAUCGGCAUCUACUUUUUCGUGGGGGAUAACGUAGGGAAACUUACGCUAAUACCGCAUACGACCUACGGGUGAAAGCAGGGGAUCUUCGCACCUUGCGCGAUUGAAUGAGCCGAUGUCGUAUUAGCUAGUUGGCGUGGUAAAGGCCCACCAAGGCAACGAUGCGUAGCUGGUCUGAGAGGAUGAUCAGCCACACUGGAACUGAGACACGGUCCAGACUCCUACGGGAGGCAGCAGUGGGGAAUAUUGGACAAUGGGCGAAAGCCUGACCCAGCCAUGCCGCGUGGGUGAAGAAGGCCUUCGGGUUGUAAAGCCCUGUUGUUGGGAAAGAAAAGCAGCAGGUUAAUACCCCGCUGUUCUGACGGUACCCAAAGAAUAAGCACCGGCUAACUUCGUG
rnacentral:rRNA from 1 species